GAUGAACGCUGGCGGCGUGCCUAAUACAUGCAAGUCGAGCGAACGGACGAGAAGCUUGCUUCUCUGAUGUUAGCGGCGGACGGGUGAGUAACACGUGGAUAACCUACCUAUAAGACUGGGAUAACUUCGGGAAACCGGAGCUAAUACCGGCUAAUAUUUUGAACCGCAUGGUUCAAAAGUGAAAGACGGUCUUGCCGUCACUUAUAGAUGGAUCCGCGCUGCAUUAGCUAGUUGGUAAGGUAACGGCUUACCAAGGCAACGAUGCAUAGCCGACCUGAGAGGGUGAUCGGCCACACUGGAACUGAGACACGGUCCAGGCUCCUACGGGAGGCAGCAGUAGGGAAUCUUCGGCAAUGGGCGAAAGCCUGACGGAGCAACGCCGCGUGAGUGAUGAAGGUCUUCGGAUCGUAAAGCUCUGUUAUUAGGGAAGAACAUAUGUGUAAGUAACUGUGCACAUCUUGACGGUACCUAAUCAGAAAGCCACGGCUAACUACGUG
rnacentral:rRNA from 1 species